CUCAAACAAGCGGCAAAUGAUGCAGAUGCACCGUCAUGGAAGUACGAUGGACAAUGUCAAUGGUGUCUUCACAAACAAGUUACUCAAGAACAAGAAGCGUUCUUCCUCUCCGAUUUUUUUUUUCAUUCUUUAAAUUACAAUUAACGUAUAAUUGUCGGAUACCGUUUUUCCCAAUAGGCUAUUUGCCCCUAGUUUUAGCUUCUCCAUGAUUUGCGUAAACAACAACAUACUGCUUCGUUGCUCAAAAAGAAAAAAAACAACAUACUGCUUCAUAUAUAAAAUGGAAAUUAAAGAAGAAUAUAAGCAAUGCGCCACUAAAAUAAGAAAGGUCAGAUAC
rnacentral:lncRNA from 1 species